rnacentral:rRNA from 1 species
AAGAGACAGCAGUAGCCGCGGGAACACAGAGGGUGCGAGCGUUAAUCGGAUUUACUGGGCGUAAAGCGUGCGUAGGCGGCUUUUUAAGUCGGAUGUGAAAUCCCUGAGCUUAACUUAGGAAUUGCAUUCGAUACUGGGAAGCUAGAGUAUGGGAGAGGAUGGUAGAAUUCCAGGUGUAGCGGUGAAAUGCGUAGAGAUCUGGAGGAAUACCGAUGGCGAAGGCAGCCAUCUGGCCUAAUACUGACGCUGAGGUACGAAAGCAUGGGGAGCAAACAGGAUUAGAUACCCCGGUAGUCCCUGUCUCUUAUAC